AUAUCUCUCUGUACGGGAAGGAUGAGAAGCUUCGACUAAGGUUCGAUUCGAGCGCAGCGAGAAAGCGUUGCCGCAGGCAACGACCCGAAGGGCGAAGCGCGCAGCGCUGAGUCAUCCU
rnacentral:sRNA from 2 species